rnacentral:rRNA from 1 species
GACGAACGCUGGCGGCGUGCUUAACACAUGCAAGUCGAACGGAAAGGCCCUGCUUUUGUGGGGUGCUCGAGUGGCGAACGGGUGAGUAACACGUGAGUAACCUGCCCUUGACUUUGGGAUAACUUCAGGAAACUGGGGCUAAUACCGGAUAGGAGCUCCUGCUGCAUGGUGGGGGUUGGAAAGUUUCGGCGGUUGGGGAUGGACUCGCGGCAUAUCAGCUUGUUGGUGGGGUAGUGGCUUACCAAGGCUUUGACGGGUAGCCGGCCUGAGAGGGUGACCGGCCACAUUGGGACUGAGAUACGGCCCAGACUCCUACGGGGGGCAGCAGUGGGGAAUAUUGCACAAUGGGCUGAAGCCUGAUGCAGCAACGCCGCGUGCGGGAUGACGGCCUUCGGGUUGUAAACCGCUUUCGCCUGUGACGAAGCGUGAGUGACGGUAAUGGGUAAAGAAGCACCGGCUAACUACGUG